rnacentral:rRNA from 1 species
CCUACGGGGGGCUGCAGUCGAGAAUCAUUCACAAUGGGGGAAACCCUGAUGGUGCGACGCCGCGUGGGGAAUGAAGGUCUUCGGAUUGUAAACCCCUGUCAUGUGGGAGCAAAUUAAAAAGAUAGUACCACAAGAGGAAGAGACGGCUAACUCUGUGCCAGCAGCCGCGGUAAUACAGAGGUCUCGAGCGUUGUUCGGAAUCACUGGGCGUAAAGCGUUCGUAGGCGGUUUCGUAAGUCGUGUGUGAAAGGUGCGGGCUCAACCCGCGGAUGGCACAUGAUACUGGGAGACUAGAGUAAGGGAUGGGGAACCGGAAUUCUCGGUGUAGCAGUGAAAUGCGUAGAUAUCGAGAGGAACACUCGUGGCGAAGGCGGGUUCCUGGACAUUAACUGACGCUGAGGCACGAAGGCCAGGGGAGCGAAAGGGAUUAGAUACCCGGGUAGUC